GGGGGACCGUAAGGCCUCGCGCGAUUAGAGCGGCCGAUAUCUGAUUAGCUUGUUGGUGGGGGUAAAAAAGCCCCACCAAGGCGACGAUCAGUAGCUGGUCUGAGAGGACGAUCAGCCACACUGGGACUGAGACACGGCCCAGACUCCUACGGGAGGCAGCAGUGGGGAAUUUUGGACAAUGGGGGCAACCCUGAUCCAGCAAUGCCGCGUGAGUGAAGAAGGCCUUCGGGUUGUAAAGCUCUUUUGUCAGGGAAGAAACAGCAGCUCUAACACAGUCUGCGAAUGACGGUACCUGAAGAAUAAGCACCGGCUAACUACGUG
rnacentral:rRNA from 1 species